rnacentral:lncRNA from 1 species
GUAGAAUUAGAGUAUGAUAGCUAAGGAGAUGGAGAAAACACCAGUCUGGAUUACAUUGUCAAACUAAGGCAACCAUGCAUGGCAUCAGACAGGAGAUGCGUCCAAACAUGAUGUAUACUACUGGUUCCUGAACGCACCCUGUCUGGUUGCUAGGCAACGAAGUUAGGCGGGAGAUCUAGUGAUUACCCGCACCUGCAUCUCAUCAACCUUCUGCACACCUGGUCCUGAUCAUCACCUCUUCUUAAGCCCUGAGCUGACAUCCAUUCCCUGCCGGAUCGUUAGCAACAAACAUCAUUCUCCCGGAACAUUCAACUCCCUUGCCUGGCCGUCGGUGGAUACAGUGACUUCAUUGGAUCAACCCAUUUACUCUCAUCACCUCCGCUGCCGCUCCGUCUCCUGGA